rnacentral:lncRNA from 1 species
UCUCUAUUCUGUCAUGUAUACUUCAAUAUGUCCGCAUGGACACACACAUAUGGAUACGUAUUGUACUUAUGUGCUUUGUUGGUUCACAGUCAACACCGAAAAGAUCCCAUCCCCUUUUUUUACAUGUAAAGUAACAUGAUUGUUGUGUUCAAAGGACUAUGAAUGUCUAGCUAUAUUGUUGUAAUGUAAAUGUUGUAGAUAAUUCACAAAG